rnacentral:rRNA from 1 species
AGCGAACAUUGGCGGUAGGCUUAACACAUGCAAGUCGAGCGAGGCGUAAUAGUCGAGCGGCGAACGGGUGCGUAAUACAUGGGAAUCUACCCUGAAGUGGGGGAUAACGUUCAGAAAUGGACGCUAAUACCGCAUAAUCCACAUUGGGAAAGCGUUGCAGCGCUUUAGGAUGAGCCCAUGGCUGAUUAGCUAGUUGGUGAGGUAAUGGCUCACCAAGGCGACGAUCAGUAGCUGGUCUGAGAGGAUGACCAGCCACACUGGAACUGAGACACGGUCCAGACUCCUACGGGAGGCAGCAGUGGGGAAUCUUGCGCAAUGGGGGCAACCCUGACGCAGCCAUACCGCGUGAGUGAUGAAGGUCUUCGGAUUGUAAAGCUCUUUCGGCGGGGACGACGAUGACGGUACCCGCAAAAGAAGUCACGGCUAACUUCGUGCCAGCCGCCGCAGUAA